rnacentral:misc_RNA from 1 species
GGGAGAGGGGAUUCUUAAUUAGAGUUUGUUUAGUAUUUUCUUUUUUAUUUAGGAUUCCAAAUCCCAAUAGCCAGAAUAACAAUUCUACUCUGUAUACCUAAGUUCUCUAGUUAUUUUGGUUGAUUUAUUAAUAUUAUUAUUGAUUUUGAUAAUUAAUACAACUGAUAAUUUGUUUCUCUUUCCCUUUGUUCUAUUGGUUCUACGAUUUAGUAGUGCAAUGAAACAUACAUAUGGGAAUGAUGCAUGCUUUUCUUAUGGAAUUUAGGUCUUUGUAUCUCCAACAAGUCAUUAGUGAUAGUCCUAUGGAAAUUGAC